AGCAGCCGCGGUAAUUCCAGCUCCAAUAGCGUAUAUUAAAGUUGUUGCAGUUAAAAAGCUCGUAGUUGAAUUUCGGAGUUUGUCGGUUGGUCGGGCUUCACUGUCCGCACUGGCCUGAUAGAUUCCUACCUUCUGAAUAACCAGCAUGCUAUUAAGUUAGUGCGUUGGGGAAGCAGAGCUAUUACCUUGAAAAAAUUAGAGUGCUUAAAGCAGGCUUAUGCUUGAAUAGAUUAGCAUGGAAUAAUAAAAUAGGACGGCAUGGUUCUAUUUUGUUGGUUUCUAGGAUCACCGUAAUGAUUAAUAGGGAUAGUUGGGGGCAUUAGUAUUCAAUUGUCAGAGGUGAAAUUCUUGGAUUUAUUGAAGACUAACUUCUGCGAAAGCAUUUGCCAAGGAUGUUUUCAUUAAUCAAGAACGAAAGUUAGGGGAUCGAAGACGAUCAGAUACCGUCGUAGUCUUAACCAUAAACUAUGCCGACUAGGGAUCGGACGAUGUUAAUUUUUUAAUGACUCGUUCGGCGCCU
rnacentral:rRNA from 1 species